UUGAGCGCUGGGCCAAUAGACUGAACAAGCAGAAGGAGAGCUUCAAGAGCAGCUUCCAGGGCCUGGGGCAGGACAGGGAUGAGGACAGGAGAGAGGCUGCCGCUGCCAAUACAGGCUUCUCCACCUUCUUUGAGAAAAACAUGGUAGAGGGUUUGAGACCCACCUUGUUAAGAACGAGCUGGUGAAGAAGGGAGAGCCAGAGACCCCAGCCAAGAGUAGCCUGGUGGCAGUUUACAGUGGGGACAGUGACCCAGAGAAGGCAGCAGACCCAGAUCAGGGAGUUGGAGGUGAUGAGCGGUCAGACAGGCUGACAGACUGGAGGAAGUUGGCCUGUCUGCUCUGUCUCAGGCAGUUCCCUAGCGAAGACGCACUGCUGCGGCACCAACAGCUUCAGACCUGCAGGAUGACAAGCAGCAGGAUGACACUUUAAUCUCUAUGAGUCUGGGUGGAAAUAUUUUGGGUUAUUUUUAUCCCUGCCAUCUGCUCAGGGUGUGCAGUUGUCCUUUAGCAUAAACAAGGUGAGAACAUGCAUUCUGUUGCUCUUUCAUGCCAAGACUAGUCGUGCCUUUUAAAUGUGUGAAUUGCAUAGUUCCCGGGGGGUAUUAACCUUUUUAUUCUGUUAAUCGGUUUAGCAAAACUUGGAAAUUCACAGACGAUCCAAACUAUUGGAAGCCGAGCUGGAGGAGUUGGAGAGAAAAGAUAUAGAGAGACAGAGCAGCUGAAAGAAGGGAUAGGUAUGGUGUUCCUGAACCACCAGCGCCCAAGAAGAAGAAAUUCUAUCAGCCUCCUGUCCCCCCCUAUCUCAAAAGCAAGGGGUCUCAUAUUCCCUUAACAUAUGUUAUUGUCCAACUAUAGCCUUGAUCAAUUCAAGUAAACAGAACUAACAAAUGAAUUACAUUUGAUUAAUACAAUUUGAUUAAUUCCCAUCUCUUCUCAACCACCUGACACACAGGAACUACGAGCAGCCCACCAAAGACGGUCUGACUAAUGACAAUAUUGGGAACAAGAUGCUGCAGGCAAUGGGCUGGCAAGAGGGCAAGGGCCAGGGCCGCAACCAGCCGUGCAUCACUGUGCAUCACAUCCGUGCAUCACACCCAUCACUGUCAGACAAAACUAGAAACUAUAGAGGCGUUUCACCUGCAAAGAUGGCUUGUAGUUCCAUGUCCCUGGGCUGUUUCCUGGCAGAUGGGGUUGGUGUGUGAAGGCAUCAUUACGGACCAAGGGCACACGCCUGGGCAUCAAGGGAAGCAACUACGAACUCUACGCAUCGGACACUUACAAGGACACCGUGCUCAAGGCCAUCUUUGCACACUUCAUAGAGCUUGCAUGAACAGGGACUACAGCCGUCCCCUCCUUCCUCAGCCCUACACCCUUGUUACCUGCCCAUUAUCCCCACCACUGUGAAAAUGAUAAGAACAAGAGGAGCAUGUACAUUUGUUAUUUAAGUGUUUUGUUUGGUUUAUUUAUUUGUUCUUCCUUUCUGUGGUCAUGUACAACAGCUAUAAAUAAUUAAGAUAUCAGGCAUUCUAUUAACCACAGGCAAAGCUAGUUCUUGUCCAUUUAAUGUAUUUUUUUCCCUUCCAUAUAUACUGAACAAAAAUAUAAAUGCAACACAUAUUGUUGGUCCCAUAUUUCAUGAGCUGAAAUAAAUGAUCCCAGAAAUGUUCCACAUGCAUUUCUCUGAAAUGUGGUGCACAAAUUCGUUUACAUCCCUGUUAGUGAGCAUUUCUCCUUU